UUAUGCUGCCAUUGCCUGGCAUAAACAGACAAUUAACUAGCUUUUCUUGAUAUCAAUGCAGAUCACUCACUUAUGCUGCUCCAGACAUGCAAAUUUUCAAUCAGGCAAGAGCUGCAGGUACUGAAGUUUUCCAGGUGAUUCAUAGGAAGUCACUCAUAAGCCAUAGGUCAAUGGGGAAGACACUGGAUAAAAUUGAAGGAAACAUCGAUAUAUGUGAUGUACAUUUUGCAUACCCAUCCCGUCAGGAAAAUUUAAUCCUUAAAGGCUUUUCAUUGCCGAUCCCUGCUGGUAAAACGGUGGCAUUAGUUGGCAGUAGCGGUUGUGGAAAGAGUACUGUUAUUUCCUUAGUUGAAAGAUUCUAUGAUCCUUUGAAAGGUCUACUGCUCCUUCCCUUCUCCUUUUAUGUUGAAGCAUUUGUUCAAAUACAUAUGCGAGCACAAGCACG
rnacentral:misc_RNA from 1 species